AGGUGAGAAAGGACAGGCCUAGACAAUGAAGCAAGGGGCGAGUGGGUGGAUGGGUAAAACCACCUGCUCCUCAAAACAGCCAGGCUCUGAGAUGAAGCAGGAAUCUGCACUUAAACCGAGGCUGGAUCCAUCCUAGGGAUUCAAGGGGUUUUAACUCAUGGUAUGCUGUUUCUGCAGGCCUGUGUUGUCAAGCGAAAACAGAAAAGAGAAGGGAAUUCCACCUUUGCCCACUGAGAACACAUCUAUGCUGAGAACACAUCUACCCAACUCCUCUGUCACAACCCCUGUGAGAAGGUUCUGCCAUCUCCCAGCCCUGAAGAUUGUGAGGUCAUCUGACCACUUAUUACAUUGCUAAACAUGGCAGGAUGUCACCUGACUCGACACUAAGCUGCCCAUCAAUCAUCACAUCCCCUUUCUCCCACUUACUUUUCUAUCACCCCGUAGAUUCCCAACAGCUGUCCUUAAGUCCUCCAGGCUACAGAAACCACUCUUGAAACAAUAUGUCAGCAUACCAUUAGUGCCCUUUAACUCAUACCCUCACUUCCCAGCCCCUCCUCUGUGAACGAAGUCUCUCCUUACCUCUUCCUCCAGCACUAAUCAAUCUAAUGUUCCUUCACUCUUUUCUCCCCUCCCAGCUUCCCUCCAACCUGCACCCAAUCCCCCCAAAUCCUUUCUCCUCUUUCUUUGCAAUUCUCCACACCAAGACUGAACACUUGUCAGAAAUGGUGCUCCCCCUGGGCCCCUCCGCUCCCUGAUGGCCCUGGGCCUCCCUCCCGACAGCUGAGGCCCUUCCUGGAUCUCUACACGUCACCAAGCUAAGCCAGUGUUCCAAAAUAGUCUCCUGAACAAUGAUGACAACUGCACAGUUAUUUUGGAAGUUCAGGGAAGCACCAGAUUUAUUUUAAAUGAUGGGAAGAGGUGUCAAAUAAAGGUUAUAAAAACAUUCCAGUAAAUAAGGCCAAUGGUGGGUUGAUAAUAUCUUCAAAGAACAUGUUUAGGAUCAUACGGUUCUUCUUCAUUCUUCUCUGCAGAACUUCCUGGCAGUGAUGGCAGUGGAACAUUGGAAACAGAGAUGAACAGGAGGUGGGAAGAGGAGGCUAAGUACAUGUAGGCCUAAAAGUCUCUGCCUUGGGAGAUUUUUAACAGUCCUGGAUGGAGGUAAGGAGGCAGGCGUGAUUCUAAGAUCUCAAGGAAAGGAGAUUCUAUGUCACUCUUCUCUUCCCUUGGCCCUCAGACUGUUUACGAACAAAAUAAUUUCAUCAACUUGCUGCAUCCACAAGAGGGAGCCUCGUGCCAGCUUCUCCAGCCAGGAUGGUAGCCCCCAAGACUCUUCCUCUUCCAUCCACCUUUAGGUGCAGCAUCCAACAAGGUCAAAAUCACAAUGUCUUGCAUGGAGAAACAAGAUCUUAUAUUGGACACUGAUUCAUAGCAUAUACAGCCUUCUGA
rnacentral:lncRNA from 1 species